rnacentral:rRNA from 1 species
UAAGGAAUAUUGGUCAAUGGACGCAAGUCUGAACCAGCCAUGCCGCGUGGAGGAUGAAGGUCCUCUGGAUUGUAAACUUCUUUUAUCUGGGACGAAACACUUCUUUUCUAAGAGGCCUGACGGUACCAGAUGAAUAAGCACCGGCUAACUCCGUGCCAGCAGCCGCGGUAAUACGGAGGGUGCAAGCGUUAUCCGGAUUCACUGGGUUUAAAGGGUGCGUAGGUGGGUAUGUAAGUCAGUGGUGAAAUCCCCGAGCUUAACUUGGGAACUGCCAUUGAUACUAUAUAUCUUGAAUACCGUAGAGGUGAGCGGAAUAUGUCAUGUAGCGGUGAAAUGCUUAGAUAUGACAUGGAACACCAAUUGCGAAGGCAGCUUACUAUGCGGUGAUUGACACUGAGGCACGAAAGCGUGGGUAGCAAACA